AUUGAACGCUGGCGGCAGGCCUAACACAUGCAAGUCGAACGAGUGGCGGACGGGUGAGUAAUGUCUGGGAAACUGCCUGAUGGAGGGGGAUAACUACUGGAAACGGUAGCUAAUACCGCAUACCAUCAGAUGUGCCCAGAUGGGAUUAGCUAGUUGGUGGGGUAACGGCUCACCAGGGCGACGAUCCCUAGCUGGUCUGAGAGUAUGACCAGCAACACUGGAACGGAGAAACGGUCCAGACUCCUAGGGGAGGCAGAAGUGGGGAAUAUGGCACAAUGGGCGCAAGCCUGAGGCAGUAAUGCCGCGUGGAUGAAGAGGGCCUUGGGGUUGUAAAGUACGUUCAGCGGGGAGGCGUUACCCGCAGAAGAAGCACCGGCUAACUCCGUGCCAGCCGCCGCGGUAAUAC
rnacentral:rRNA from 1 species